GGCUUUAUGGGAUAAUGACACUUGCUCGAUCAUUUUGAAGGCAGAGCACUGCCAAGGCCACACCAUGGUUAGCUGCAAACCAUGUCAUUCUAAGUCACCACCUAUUUAAGCCUUUGUAGCAUGCCAUUCUAACUAAACACUCUACUGUGUUUAAUUCUUAGCUUCACCCCAAGCACGCACAGUUUCUCAAUACACCCAUCCAGAACUACCACCAGAUGCAAUAAAUCUUCUCUUUUGCGCUGGCAACCGGCUAGCAUGCCCUGGGCUCCAAUCAGCCGCUGAACUCGCCUAGGCCCAAGUAUCCAGACACCCAGGAGUCAGAGACCAUCAACCUUGAUGGUCCUGACAAGGAUGGUGAUCAUGUUUCCGGUGCUUGAUAGGAAGAGGAAGAGGGGAGCCUUGAUGAAGGACGAGCUGACCGUCUUCACCAGCAUGACUCAAGGCGUGAAGGAGGUCGCCACCGCCAUCAGGGAGAGCAAGCCGGUCGACGUCCACCUUGAACUCUACAUCAUCGUCAUGGACCAAGGUGGCUUCAUCCCAGAGGCUCUCAUGGCGGCUCUCAGCCACCUGCUGGACAACAAAGCCCAGGGGGUUGGGUUGUUGCCAUGGGAGACGCCCAUAGAGUGCUCUGGCUGAGGGCCUUGCAGGGCAAGCACUACUGCUAGUGUUGUUUCUGCUGGUGGUGAUGGCGUGCAUGAUCCUCGACGGCGAUGGCGAUGUGAUGACGACGACGAUGUACAUUUUGUGGUAGCUAGGGCUUGAUAAACUCUUGAUGUUGGCAUGUAUAUUUCAAUGAGGUGGUAUAUUAACCCCUCACGCCGAUGGCGAACUUGCGGUGGUAGGACACCACCCUCUUUUGAAUGUGGUGGUAGGAUGGCACCAUAGUAGUGAUAGGAUGAACUUGCUAUGCCAUAUGAUCAUGAAUGCUUACUCAUGUUUCAUGUCUAGUGUUCUCAUUGGCCAUUGCUUGUUGCUUGGUCUGUUGCUCUUCUGCAAUGUUAGAAAAAGUGAUAUGUGGUGUUCCACGUGAGGGUUUCAGGGGUUUACAGUUCAUGGGAAGCAUACAAUACACAAGUGUCAGGUUACAACAGCUGCCAUAGAGGGUUUAAGACAAGGCAUGCAGCAGAGGAUUUACUCCAAGGCCGUGCUCAAGCAGGCAUGCAAUGUUGAACUUGGAAUUGCGGAUCUACACUUUGGGCCGAAGAACUUCAUCAUCUUCGUCCAGUUCGUCAUGGUUGUAGUAUUGUUUUGUUGAUGUGAUUGGUGUGAUGGUUUCUAAGGUGUAGUAGCGGGUAAGCUCACCAUGAAGGGUACAAAGUGACUACACCUCUAUACUCAUAUGCAACCAAACACCGUGCGCCAGUAUAAGCACAGCCUAUGCGAGCAAGCAAACACGGUGCAUAAAGGUGUUACUACGAUGCAGGCAGCCAAAUAACAUGCAGAUCUAUAUAGAUCCUAAAGGGAUCUUCAGUUUGGAUGGAACACCAAAAAUACAAACAAAGUUAUAGCAAAAUAAAGAGAGCUCGCUUCAGAUUCAGAGUUGUCUGCACGGACAAAUGUAAAUUGGUUUGGGUUUGGGGUUGGCACUUUUUGGCCCUCAUCUGAGGCGCUGGAACACACGACACGGCGCACGUCUAUGAAAACAGAGCUGCUAAAAAUCAGUUGACUGAGACUUCGUGAAGUCUCAGUCGACUGGUGAGCCGUCCGAUCCGUUUGUUGCUUGUAGAUUCACGCUGGGUCGUUUUUGUGCCUUUUUCGGCCUGUCUAAGGCGCGGUGGGCUCGGACUAGUCAGUUCGCCUUAGCGCGGCCGAGGGUGAGCGUUUUGCUCUUUCGUGGGCUGGGCUUUUUUGUUUGUCUGUUUCUAUCUUGAUUUUUUUUUCUCGGUCUGCUUUCUUCUUUUUGACGUUUGUUACAGGGGAGGGGAAGCGGCCACCGGUGGUAAAUUAGAGGAGGGGAAGCUGCAGUCAUUCGUCUCUAUCCAUUCCCCUCUCCCCCCUUCUCUCUCUAUCACUUUUUACCUCUGUCAAAAUCUGAAGAUCUCUGCAGCAAACGAAGGAAUUGCUGUGCUGCUCAACGUCCAACGAGAGUAUGGGGGACGCUGCUGAUGGAGUACAAGGACUUUCAAGAAUCAAGUGAUAUCUCUAUAGUCUCAGUUUGUGCUUGGCGCCGUGAUAGGUGAACCCGAUGAGCGAGCAUCGUCCAUUUGAUUAGCUUGAUGGAGGCUGAGAUGCACUGGAUAUACGUGAGAAAGAGAUCAGGCUGACAACGAUCAAGCCGGAUGGCACCGCAACUGUGACUCUAGGCAUGCAACUCUUCAAUCACAGCAUCACGAUCUCCAUUUUUUUCACCAUUAGUUUCUUUUCAUUGCGAGUCAGCUUGUUAGCUGUUGACUCAAGUGUACAAAAAAGGAGCAGCCAUGGGCUUUCUUUUUCACACUGUUUUCUUAUCAUCAUUAUUAUCCGUAGGUUUUUAAACUUGUACUAAAGAAUGACAACGUUUUGUGUUAGAUAAUUAUGACAUAGGAAGGGUGGCGCGAAACUGACGAUUAUAUAUGUGUUACUUGAUUAAGGCUCAUUUGGUCAUUUAA